rnacentral:tRNA from 1 species
CUUGUAAUAGCAUAAUGGUAAUGUACCUACUUCAAGUAGGAUGAUCUAGGUUCAACUCCUGGUUAAAGUA